UACUGCAUUGGAUUUAAGUCGAGUACUGUCUUUUUUAAUUUGUUUAUUUUUUCCUAGUUAAUCAUUCAUACUGUCUCAUGUCAUCUCGGAAUUCUCUGGAACUGGAGUUAAUCCUGUGCUUACGACUGGUGGUUCUUCCAUUAAGCUGAAUUUGCAAUGUACCAUCUGUUAAAGGCUUGCAGGUACACUUACCUUUAUUUAUGUGCAUAGUUCCAUUUAAGUCAAUAGGACUACUUCCAGUACAUCAAAUUAAAACUCAGCCAAGGUGGGAGCUCUGGCUCAGUGGAGACCCACAACUGCACUGGGGACGAGGAGAGUGUUGGUGUGGCUGGGAAGGAAAAGGCCAAGCAUGCCAAGUGAGUGCCCUGGGGCAGGGCGUACCUGUGGACUCCACAGUA
rnacentral:lncRNA from 1 species